GCACCUGGUGGCGAGUGGCGAACGGGUGAGUAAUACAUCGGAACGUACCUUAUCGUGGGGGAUAACGCAGCGAAAGCUGUGCUAAUACCGCAUACGCCCUGAGGGGGAAAGCGGGGGAUCGAAAGACCUCGCGCGAUUAGAGCGGCCGAUGCCUGAUUAGCUUGUUGGUGGGGUAAAAGCCCACCGAGGCGACGAUCAGUAGCUGGUCUGAGAGGACGAUCAGCCACACUGGGACUGAGACACGGCCCAGACUCCUACGGGAGGCAGCAGUGGGGAAUUUUGGACAAUGGGGGAAACCCUGAUCCAGCAAUGCCGCGUGAGUGAAGAAGGCCUUCGGGUUGUAAAGCUCUUUUGUCAGGGAAGAAACACCGGCUCUAACACAGUCCGGGAAUGACGGUACCUGAAGAAUAAGCACCGGCUAACUACGUGCCAGCAGCCGCGGUAAUACGUAGGGUGCGAGCGUUAAUCGGAAUUACUGGGCGUAAAGCGUGCGCAGGCGGUUAUACAAGACAGGCGUGAAAUCCCCGGGCUUAACCUGGGAAUGGCGCCUGUGACUGUAUAACUAGAGUGUGUCAGAGGGGGGUAGAAUUCCACGUGUAGCAGUGAAAUGCGUAGAUAUGUGGAGGAAUACCAAUGGCGAAGGCAGCCCCCUGGGAUAACACUGACGCUCAUGCACGAAAGCGUGGGGAGCAAACAGGAU
rnacentral:rRNA from 1 species